CAAUAAGAAGCAUGAGGUUUUUUUGUGUUAUAAAUUUGUAUUAACCGCUUUGCUUGUGACCGGCUAACCAGGUCCGGCUAGAUUUCCUAACAUUUACUACCGUCGAUAAGAUGGGAAGCUUCUUUGUUUAAAGGCGAUAUUGUGGAGGUUCAGCCAAACCUGUUCAACCUAGAUGAGAAAGAUGUUGUUUAAAAGGUCGAGUUCUGCUUAGAGUCAUAUUUUGAGAACAUGGGAUUACCUUUCGUGUUAUUGCUGCUGGUUGGGACAGCUACCAGUUCUAUCAAGUUCGACGCCCCCUUAGACUACAACCUAUUUUACUGGCAAGGAAACAACUCCUUACAAUACAACUUGGACAUUCGUAUCCCUCGUGACUCCCGC